AACGAACGCUGGUGGCAGGCUUAACACAUGCAAGUCGAACGCCCCGCAAGGGGAGUGGCAGACGGGUGAGUAACGCGUGGGAACAUACCCUUUUCUACGGAAUAGCUCUGGGAAACUGGAAUUAAUACCGUAUACGCCCUACGGGGGAAAGAUUUAUCGGGGAAGGAUUGGCCCGCGUUGGAUUAGCUAGUUGGUGGGGUAAAGGCCUACCAAGGCGACGAUCCAUAGCUGGUCUGAGAGGAUGAUCAGCCACAUUGGGACUGAGACACGGCCCAAACUCCUACGGGAGGCAGCAGUGGGGAAUAUUGGACAAUGGGCGCAAGCCUGAUCCAGCCAUGCCGCGUGAGUGAUGAAGGCCUUAGGGUUGUAAAGCUCUUUCACCGAUGAAGAUAAUGACGGUAGUCGGAGAAGAAGCCCCGGCUAACUUCGUG
rnacentral:rRNA from 1 species